rnacentral:rRNA from 1 species
GACGAACGCUGGCGGCGUGCUUAACACAUGCAAGUCGAACGAAGAGCGAUGGAAGCUUGCUUCUAUCAAUCUUAGUGGCGAACGGGUGAGUAACGCGUAAUCAACCUGCCCUUCAGAGGGGGACAACAGUUGGAAACGACUGCUAAUACCGCAUACGAUCUAAUCUCGGCAUCGAGGAUAGAUGAAAGGUGGCCUCUACAUGUAAGCUAUCACUGAAGGAGGGGAUUGCGUCUGAUUAGCUAGUUGGAGGGGUAACGGCCCACCAAGGCGAUGAUCAGUAGCCGGUCUGAGAGGAUGAACGGCCACAUUGGGACUGAGACACGGCCCAGACUCCUACGGGAGGCAGCAGUGGGGAAUCUUCCGCAAUGGACGAAAGUCUGACGGAGCAACGCCGCGUGAGCGAUGACGGCCUUCGGGUUGUAAAGCUCUGUUAAUCGGGGCGAAAGGCCUUCUUGCGAAUAGUGAGAAGGAUUGACGGUACCGGAAUAGAAAGCCACGGCUAACUACGUG